UCCAAACUUGUAUUUAUGGAUUCCACCGGUUCUCUGGAUCACGACAGCAGCAGAGUGUUCGUUUUACUUACUCACAGUGAGUGUGGAGGUUUACCACUAGGAGUUCUGAUUGUGUCUUCAGAAAGCUGCGGAGUUAUAGAAAUGGGACUAGAGUUGCUGAAAGAGAUAGUGGGGGAAAAUAUUUUGGGGGAAACAUCAAUGGCCCAAGUGUGUUUCCGACUGACGACAGCCAGUCAGAACAAAAUGCAAUUAGAAGGUGCUUCCCAAACACAAAAGCUUUGUCGUGUAUAUUCCACGUCCUGCAGGCAGUGUGGCGCUGGCUUCUCAAAGCAAAAAAUGCUAUACCACAGCAAAAACAGUGCGAGUUCUUCCAGAAUUUCAAAAAAAUAAUGUUUGCGCAAACAAAAAAUGAAGCAGUGGUAAACUAUAAUGUAACAAGAGCGAACAUCGGUGAAAAUAAUCAAAAUUUAUUGAAAUACUUGGAAGGGUAUUGGGAUAGGAGAGGACUGUGGACCCUUUCACGUCGGCGAGGUAUGCUUGUAGAAGGGCACAACACAAAUAAUAUAACUGGGGCCUUCACGAGAAUUUUAAAGGACAGGAUUUUUGAGAGGGUGCGUGCCUUCAAUAUGGUUCAGAUGGUGGACUUUUUUCUCACAAAGGUGAAUUUGUAUUUUCAGAGGAGACUUCUUGAUGCUGCUAAUGGAGCAAGUCCUAAGUCUUUCUGUAGGCCUACAAAGGCUCCUUCACAGGAGAUUCUAGCAAAAAUCAGACAAGUCAAUGAGGAUGUUCUGCUCGUUCCCAGUGAAGAAAGGCAGAAUCAUUAUUACAUUGUUAAUAUGGCUGUUCCUGUUUGCACUUGUUGCCAAGGCAAUACAGGGAAGAUCUGCAAACAUAUAGACUGGGGAACUACAGGGAGGUGACGGAUAGUGACAGUGUACGUAGACUGUAUUAUUUUAUCGCUACAGAUGAGGAGCCUCCUCAAGGGUGGCUAGAGCCUCUGUAUUGCUCUCAGAAUGCAGGGGCUUCGAGUUCUUCGGAACGUUUGGAGCAAAUGGACACAGGUUUGCUCUGUGAAAGCCAAGCAGAGAUGCCAGAGACACUUCACCCGGAGACAGUUCCAGACAAUACAAAUAAUGAUUUAAUCGACGAGAUAAAAGCUCGUCUCAUAGAUUUUUCAAAUAAAUCCCCUGAGGAAAUGAGGAAAGGCCUUGAAGUCAUGUGCGAAAAAUUGAGAAAGCUUGCAUCUUAUUUGGCAAAUUUUGGUGAAGGAAAAUCUAGAAAAAAUCGCGGUAACUAUAUUCCCGUUCAGUCCACUGCAAUAAGCAGAAGAAAAAACAAGUUGGCAGGUCGCAGAUGUCAUCCGGGGGGAAGACAAAGACCACACUCUAAGCAAAGCGAGGAAUUUGUAAAGACAGUAGAAAUUUCUGAAAUGGCUACCUUUCCACCACCAGCUACGCAGUCGUCCCAGUCAGCUUCAGACUUUUGAAGGUGCGCGACUGUUUACUGCAGCAUAGUGUGUAGGAUUUUCUUAAUCUGAGAUCCAACGUAAUGGAACUAUUAAGGGAAUGAUUGUACUCAGACCAAACUUACUAUUGAAAUAUAGAAGUUCUUCUUUAAAUUGGGAUAUCCCAACAAUGUGGAUACUUAUUGUGUAUGUUGCACAAGUUUCUGGGAAAUGUG